GAGUUUGAUCGUGGCUCAGGAUGAACGCUGGCGGCGUGCCUAACACAUGCAAGUCGAACGGAGUUUAUGAGGAAGAAGCUUCGGCGGAAUUCUUAUAAACUUAGUGGCGGACGGGUGAGUAACACGUGGAGAACCUGCCUCUUACCGGGGGACAGCAGUUGGAAACGACUGAUAAUACCGCAUAAGCGCACGAGACCGCAUGGUCCUGUGUGAAAAGAUUUAUCGGUAAGAGAUGGCUCCGCGUCUGAUUAGCCAGUUGGCGGGGUAACGGGCCCACCCAAAGACGACGAUCAGUAGCCGGCCUGAGAGGGUGAACGGCCACAUUGGGACGUGAGACACGG
rnacentral:rRNA from 1 species